AAUCCAGUCUGACAAAUACGAGAAUGAAAAGGAUUUGGGAAAGGCUGCCCAGCUGUGAGGGAGGCAGCGGAAGAAUGCUGGCACGGUCGGCCUCCACCACCAUGAUCUUCCCUAACCCUCCUGUGGGCACCACCUCUGAGAGACAGGAGCGCUGCAAGGCUCCUCAUGACGCAUAGACGACUGGCAUCCCUCUGAGAAAGCAACAUGUGGAAUUGCUCCUCCUUGGCUCCUCGCUUGCUGCCUCCAUCUCAAAGAAGCUCCCUGCGUCUAAGUGGAGGAUAGACCCCUGCACAUUCCCACCCACGUCCGCUUAAGGCUCCCAUUCUGAGUUCCAGGUCCCUGCCUGAGUUCCCACGUCACUUAUGCCUGCCUGAUGUCCGAACGUGCAUGUCCAAGAGAGCCUGCCUGCACGUGACCCUAGCCUCCAGGGCACCGCAGGACAGCCAGCCUCCAGGUCUCUGCCUACCGGAUAUCUGCUGAGGAACAAACCCUAAGCUGCUUCCUGAGGCUGGGUGGUCGGCUCUCCCCACCCAACCAGAGCCAGCCGGGCAGGACGGUUCUUGCUGAGCCUCAGGAGGGUCUUCACAGACAACUGAAGCAACGCGAAUGUCAAAUUUACAGAUGUCCUGAGUAUCCACAGCGAGACACAAACAAGUAGUGAAGCCACGUACCCCAUCGCUGCUUCAUCGUUCCACUGCAAUAAUUCCAGAUACGAUUAGUUGUGGCUACAGAGUUAAGCCCCGUUGUUAAUUAUUUUUUGGUAUUUUUUGGAGCCAAAGUCAUGGGCAUAGAAUUCAAAUGUUGUUCCUUUACUGCGGUCAGACUGAUCUCACAUGACGCAGUUUGCUUCUCUGACUCGUGUGUCCAUUCUUCUCCCUUUUCUGUCAUUAUUAUUAGGCCAUUAUUGAAUUUCCAAGGCAUGACCCUUGUUAGGAAAUGAUGGAAACAACGCAGUUGCUCUAUAAUCACCAAUUACGUUGUGACUUCUUACAAAUAAGCGUACUCAACUUUCAGCGUUACUCAUUCAUUGUAAAAUGGCCGCGGUGUGAUCAGGGGUAUCAGCUCACUUCACACAAUCAGAACUUGUUCGUCUGGGGCGUCCUGAAUGAUGCCAAAACCUGUGCUCCAGAUGGGCGAGAGUGUGAACGAGAACCACCUCAGGAGAGCCUCCUGCCUGGAGCCCCGUGCCGAACUGUAUGGAGGGGGUGGGGGGCUGAGAGGGAAUAAGAGAGGUGACCUUGCCAUGUAGACUGUUCCUCUGAGAGUAAAGAGCCCGCUGGAGGGAGCUGUUCCGACUCUAGUGCUGGGCUCUCCAGUGGUCUCAGUUAGAACAGCAACAUUGCUCAGGCUCAGGCCGGUGGGAAAACAGCCGGAAUUCAGGAGCCUCCGGUUUUCUUUUUCAGAUUCCCCCAAAUGUCUCAUUUUUAAAAAAAAAAAUGAGUUCAUGCUUUUGUGAAUCAGGAUUGAAAUAAAGGCCAUACAUUGUUAUAUUGGCUGAUAUUU
rnacentral:lncRNA from 1 species